rnacentral:lncRNA from 1 species
CAAGUUAGAAACAGUAAGAGAUUAAGAAUAACUAAUAACAAAGUAGAGCAACUAUAACAACACUAAUAAAAGCUAUGCAUCUGUGGUCUCUCAAAAUAUUUUACUGUACUGUACUCACCUGUCUUCAUCUUGUGAUGACAUAACAUGCCUUUGUGAUGCCACAACCUGUGAUGAGAGGAAGUGAGGUAAAUGAUGUAGGCACCACUAGCACUGUGACACUGUGUCAACCAGAUAACAAAGACAGCCAGUAAGGGACUAACAGGCAGGAGCAUAUACAGCAUGGAUAUGUCAGACAGAGGGAUGGACUGGGCAGGAUGAAGCAGGAUGGUGCAAGAUAUUAUCAUGCUACUCAGAAAGGUCUGUAUGAACUAAGGCAAGAAAAGGAACAAAGGUUGAGAGGCUUAGAGAAGAGCAAGCUUCCUUUUGAUAUGACUUCUCUAGAAAACCAGAAAGAUGCAUUACUCAGAUUAAUUAGAGUUUUUCAAGAUGGCUGACUGAAAAAUUAAUGUACAGAAAAGCAAUUCUGGGAGAGGGGAGGGAGAGGAGAGGAAGGGAAUCUUAAAAAAAUCAGAUGUAUUAUGUGCAUGCACCACUCCCCACAAUAAAUGUAAUCAUAUACUGCAGACAUUUGCUAAUAAAAAUAAAACAUUUUAAAAAUCAACCUUUCUACCAGCAACAAAUGAUGAGAAAAGGAAAUUUGUAAAAAGGUUUGCUUCAAUCAAGCAUAAAAAUCAAAUACCGAUGAAUAAAUAUAAAAGAUGGCCAAGAUCUCUACACAGAAC